UCCGUUGCGUCGACAAUGGGUGUGAAUCUAGUGUCUCACAGUGUUUUCUAUAUUGUGACUAGAUCCACACUCAUUAACGAAACUGCGGU
rfam:Anopheles atroparvus strain EBRO unplaced genomic scaffold supercont1.11, whole genome shotgun sequence.